CCUACGGGAGGCAGCAGUAGGGAAUAUUGCUCAAUGGGGGAAACCCUGAAGCAGCAACGCCGCGUGUAGGAUGAAGGUUUUCGGAUUGUAAACUCCUUUUGUUAGAGAAGAUAAUGACGGUAUCUAACGAAUAAGCACCGUCUAACUCCGUGCCAGCAGCCGCGGUAAUACGGAGGGUGCAAGCGUUACUCGGAAUCACUGGGCGUAAAGAGCGCGUAGGCGGGAUAGCAAGUCAGAUGUGAAAUCCUAUGGCUUAACCAUAGAACUGCAUUUGAAACUGUUAUUCUAGAGUAUGGGAGAGGUAGGUGGAAUUCGUGGUGUAGGGGUGAAAUGCGUAGAGAUCAAGAGGAAUACUGAUUGCGAAGGCGACCUGCUAGAACAUAACUGACGCUGAUGCGCGAAAGCGUGGGGAGCAAACAGGAUUAGAUACCCCUGUAGUC
rnacentral:rRNA from 1 species